GGCGUAGCGAUCUACGACAAUCGUAGUCGUGGACGUAAGUAACGCACAAGGUUUGGCGUAGUGCGUUAUGUCGUAUGGCGAGUGAUGGCGAGGUACGAGCAAGCUGCCAAAACCAAAGGUUAGCGGCAUUUACGGAUCAACGCCCGAUGUACUGACGAUACUCGACGUCGCGCUGCUACCCUUACCAGAAUCGUUAUUGCCUAUACGCGCGCUGGAAGAACGAUACACCAUUGCAGCACGCCGCAUUGCUGCGGAAACGUGCGGAUGCUCAAAAGAGAAAGAGAGGGAGACGAAGAGGCGAAAAGGAAGAGAAAAAAGGAAAAUUACGCUCGGCAAAGCGCUAAGCGCUAAGAGUUCUUCGCCUUCGUUGCGGCUCCUCUCAUCUCACGUGCCGCGGUUCGUCAGAGUGACUUUGAUCGAACUCCGAUUAGCUUGAUCAACGAUGUAGUUCGACCGUCGCGUUAAGCUAGAAAUUUUCCAGUGAGCAAUUCUCGACGAUACGAUUCGUCGUCCUUGAUCUAUAAUCUUCCUUUCCACGUGUCAUACGGCGGGGGAUUAAUUAGUCUAUCUGUGUUAAUGAGGUAGUACAAGUAUUGCUUGGUAAGCUUAAUGACUGGAUUAAGUUGAUCGGAGUUUGCUCACCCUCGAUCCCUAUGGGUGAGAAAAGUAAUGUUGUCGAUCGCGAAAAUAAAGGAAAUGUUAUUGCAAAAAUCAAGAAUAAUUCUGCAUAAAGAUAUCUGCUCUCUAAUAUUGUUUGAAGAUGUGUUGUGUGAUGUAUAACAUUGUUAUGACUAUAACUUCAUUGAUUAUAACUUGCUCUUUUGUUGUAGAUAUGUAAACUGCAUAAGUUUAGAGUUACAAAACUGGUCGAUUAAAAUAAUUACAUUCUAA